UGGGGAAUAUUGCACAAUGGGCGCAAGCCUGAUGCAGCAACGCCGCGUGAACGAUGAAGGUCUUCGGAUCGUAAAGUUCUGUUGCAGGGGAAGAUAAUGACGGUACCCUGUGAGGAAGCCCCGGCUAACUACGUGCCAGCAGCCGCGGUAAUACGUAGGGGGCUAGCGUUAUCCGGAUUUACUGGGCGUAAAGGGUGCGUAGGUGGUCCUUCAAGUCGGUGGUUAAAGGCUACGGCUCAACCGUAGUAAGCCGCCGAAACUGGAUGACUGGAGUGCAGGGGAGGAAAGUGGAAUUCCCAGGGUGGCGGUGAAAUGCGUAGAUAUUGGGAGGAACACCAGUAGCGAAGGCGGCUUGCUGGACUGCAACUGACACUGAGGCACGAAAGCGUGGGUAGCAAACAGG
rnacentral:rRNA from 1 species